UGGGGAAUAUUGCACAAUGGGCGCAAGCCUGAUGCAGCCAUGCCGCGUGUAUGAAGAAGGCCUUCGGGUUGUAAAGUACUUUCAGCGGGGAGGAAGGGAGUAAAGUUAAUACCUUUGCUCAUUGACGUUACCCGCAGAAGAAGCACCGGCUAACUCCGUGCCAGCAGCCGCGGUAAUACGGAGGGUGCAAGCGUUAAUCGGAAUUACUGGGCGUAAAGCGCACGCAGGCGGUUUGUUAAGUCAGAUGUGAAAUCCCCGGGCUCAACCUGUGAAAUGCGUCUGAUACUGGCAAGCUUGCGUCUCGUAGAGGGGGGUAGAAUUCCAGGUGUAGCGGUGAAAUGCGUAGAGAUCUGGAGGAAUACCGGUGGCGAAGGCGGCCCCCUGGACGAAGACUGACGCUCAGGUGCGAAAGCGUGGGGAGCAAACAGG
rnacentral:rRNA from 1 species